GCAAAAUUGAAGUGUUUGACAAUAACAUUUGACAUCUACUAAAUAAUCCCCAAAAAACAAAUGUUUAUUGAAUCCUGCACCAGACCAAACCGCUGAGUUUCUCUAGCGCAACCUUCUUGCUUCUCUUUCAGACUCAAGCAGGGUGAGGGUGUCUCCUUCUCUAACUGGUCCCUUCACGUUCCUCAUGAUGUGACGGUUCGAAUCAUCAUUAAACUUGACCCUAACUUGAGUCACCUGUCCUCUAGAACCAGUACGACCUAUUACCUUGACAACAACAGCAUUCUUGAUUUGAGAAUCCAUUCUGCUCAAACACAAAGCACAUUUACAAUGUCAAUAAAUGGGAACAAUAGCAUAACAAUAUGAAAUGAGUUACACAUGAACUUUUUUAGUACAAACUACGAUUAAUUAUUGACAAGAAUCAAUUCCAACAUAUUCAGAACAAAAUUCAAAAACAACAUAAAAGAUCAUGCAAUCAAUUUCAAGUUCUUCUACCGAGGUCAUUCAAUUCAGAAUACAACUAAACCAAAACCAAAUUACUAGUCAUCUAGAUCAAAAAUAGAUAAUAAAACUAUUUAACCUUUUGAAAAACAAUAACAAUAGAACAAUUCAUUUCAAAAUUUGUUAAGUAAAUUAAAAUUAGUUGGCUACCACAUUUCAUUUGGGAAUCCAAACAAAGCCCACAACACUGAAGAAAUAUCACAAACAAACAAAUUCAACAUGGGUCAACAAUUUUGAACUAAAAAAAAAAAAAAAGACUUUCAAACAGGUUAAACAUAAAAUAAAGGUUUAGCAGAGAAAAACACAAUGAUCACUCCAAUUUCCGGUUCAUGAUCACUAGAAUCGUAAUUGCAACAUGAAAUAAUAAUACUUGAUAAAAAUUCGGUGCAAUCACAUAAAUUUAAACAUAAUUCUCUCAGAAUCACAUAACGUUCAACAGGAUCAGAUAAUCAAAAACAAUUAUUUAAAAAAAAAGAAAAAAAAGGAAAAGCAAGACGUAGGUAAAUGAGAAAUUGAGCAAUGAGAAUGAAUGAAAUUGAAAAAAAUGAAGAGAUAGAGAUGAAGGAGAAAACUACCUUUGGUUGCGGUGGACAGAGAAAGAGAAGAUCUCAAUCAAG
rnacentral:lncRNA from 1 species